rnacentral:lncRNA from 1 species
GAACUUAGAGAGCAAGAAAGUCAAAGAAGAAAGGGACUGAAGAAUGUCAAGGAAAUGACCUAGCACUACAAGCCAUAAAGUAAUGACAGUUUCAGUUAUAGCCAACAGGAAUAGAUCUGACAACUGAAAUUCUUAUGGGUAAAGGCAUUGUGGACAAAUACAAACUCACACCCAAUGGGUUCCAAAAAUUUAUUUCUGUCAUGCAUUAAAAGAUGGGUGUCUGCUCAACCUAGAUGAGGCUCAACAAUAUCUCAGAGGGUGAGCAAGGCUUUCUUCCCGGGGGCAGCUCCACACAGAAAACCGACAAGAGUCCUGUUAUGUCCUCACUCUGUUGUUUCCUGUGAAGGAUACUGGUGGGCAGAAGGGAAGACUAGAUUGAGGCAUCCA